AUGGCUCAUAUAUUUAUUUAUUUAAAUUUAUUACGAUUUUUAUUUUUAUUAAUUUUAAUUAUUUCGGUUUGUUUAUAUUUAUUGUUUGUGAGCUACCUUAAUGUUUACUUAAAUUGUCUUAUUUACCAAUUGUAUGAUCAUUGUUGUUUGGUUCAUUUGUCCGUUAGGAUUUUUUUUAUAUUGUUUUGUAUUCCCUUUUGUUCAUAUUUGUUUACGAACUAAUCGCACUUUUUGUCCCUAAAUUAUACUGCAGUAUUUUCGUUCAGUUUAUUUAUUUGGAAAUGAACUGUUGUAAUAGUACAUAAACAAAAAGAAAUUUGUAGGCUCAGUAAUAACUGGCUUUAGAAUUAAAAUUUAGUUUGUUGGGGAUAAAGACUGCGAAAUAAACGGUUGCUCAAGUAUAUGCAUCAUUAAUUGUAAA